rnacentral:rRNA from 1 species
UCCGCAAUGGACGAAAGUCUGACGGAGCGACGCCGCGUGGAGGACGAAGGCCUUCGGGUUGUAAACUCCUGUCACGAGUUAAGAAGUGUACGUCAUUAAUACCGGCGUGCAUUGACGAAGGCUCGAGAGGAAGCACUGGCUAACUCUGUGCCAGCAGCCGCGGUAGUACAGAGAGUGCGAACGUUGCUCGGAAUUACUGGGCUUAAAGCGUACGUAGGCGGCGUGACAAGUGUCGGGUGAAAGCCCACGGCUUACCCGUGGAACUGCCUGGCAAACUGUCAUGCUAGAGUGUGGUAGGGGAGAACAGAACUCAUGGUGGAGCGGUGAAAUGCGUAGAUAUCAUGAGGAAUACCGGUGGCGAAGGCGGUUCUCUGGCCCACAACUGACGCUGAGGUACGAAAGCUAGGGUAGCGAACGGGAUUAGAUACCCCGGUAGUCCUAGCCGUAAACGAUGGGUACUAGCUUGGGGGAUCCCUGUGUUCUUCCAGGUGAAGCAAAAGUGAUAAGUACCCCGCCUGGGGAGUAUGGUCGCAAGGCUGAGACUCAAAGGAA